rnacentral:lncRNA from 1 species
GUCAGUCCUUCCCUCCUCUCUCCCUUCCUUCCUUUUCUCCUUCUCCCUUUCAAAAUCGCAUUCGUUUUCUCUUUUCAAAGACAUAGCAAAAAUGUUUAUUGUUGUUUCUGAAUAAGAGAGGAAAACCACAGUGAAGAAGUUUAGUUCCUGCUUCAUGGAACAUCCUUCCUCCAGAAGAGUGAUCUGGCCAGUACUUAACAUCAGUACCCUCUGUUGGGUCACCAUGGAUUCUUUUUUCUCUGAAGAAGUUAAGCACGUGUUCCAUGGCCUGAGACCUGCGAAGAGGUCUCGCACUGUUUGUCAUUGUGAUCUGCGGGCUGCCGUGCGUGUUGCAGGGAGCACGAUGGCUGCGGACACAGCUGCCCGAGUCGGUGACUCAGGAGCGCUGUCUGCGUUGAGUGCUGCUGUGUCAGCACAGACAUGUCCAGAGUCCGGGCAGCACUCAGGCUCACAGGUUGGUGACUUUACUCGUCAGGAAUCUCCCCAGGCACAAGGUCCAGCCUUCCAAAAUGAUGCUUCAGGUUUAUUUCUUAUCAGAUUCAAGAUGCACACCCACGAGGGAAUGGACCUUCCCAGUUAUCCAUAACACAGCUUCAGUGGUGCUGGAGUCCCGUGUAAUUAACAAACCCUUGGAGACGUUUGUUUGCACGUGUGCAUCAAGAUAACCUGAAUUUUAGUCCAAGAUGAGCCCCUAGAGACAGCAUGGCAGAGGCUGCGUGCUCCUGUGGAAGCCCCUAGCUAGGAACAAGAAAAUCUGGUUUCUGUAUGUGCCUCCAACAUUUAUUGACUGGAACCUUCACACAAUUACUUAACAUCUGUAAACUUCAGUUUCUUCUUCUGUAAGAUGGAGAUAACGCCCAUUUUAAUAAAGCUCCUUGACAUGGGUCUUGGUAAUGAGUUUCUGGAUAUAACCCCUAAACCACAAGGAAAAAAAUAAAAAAUAAACAAGUGGGCUAUAUCCAACCAAAAAG